ACGGCCCCCCCUUUUGCAUAUUUCAAUAGCGGAGGAAAAGAAACCAACAGGGAUUACCUCAGUAACGGCGAGUGAAGCGGUAACAGCUCAAAUUUGAAAUCUGGCCUCACGGUCCGAGUUGUAAUUUGUAGAGGAUGCUUCGAGCAUGGUCUGGCCUAAGUUCCUUGGAACAGGACGUCAUAGAGGGUGAGAAUCCCGUAUGCGGCCAGGUGCCUACGCUCAUGUGAAGCUCCUUCGACGAGUCGAGUUGUUUGGGAAUGCAGCUCAAAAUGGGUGGUAAAUUUCAUCUAAAGCUAAAUAUUGGCCAGAGACCGAUAGCGCACAAGUAGAGUGAUCGAAAGAUGAAAAGCACUUUGGAAAGAGAGUUAAACAGUACGUGAAAUUGUUGAAAGGGAAGCGCUUGCAACCAGACUUGCGCGCGGCCGAUCAUCCGGUGUUCUCACCGGUGCACUCGGCCGUGCUCAGGCCAGCAUCGGUUUUGGCGGCUGGAUAAAGGCCCUAGGAAUGUAGCUCCUCUCGGGGAGUGUUAUAGCCUAGGGUGCAAUGCAGCCUGCUGGGACCGAGGACCGCGCUCGGCUAGUACGACUGACGUAACCUGACCCCCU
rnacentral:rRNA from 1 species